UGGGGAAUAUUGCACAAUGGAGGGAACUCUGAUGCAGCGACGCCGCGUGAACGAAGAAGGCUUUCGAGUCGUAAAGUUCUUUUAUAUGGGAAGAUAAUGACGGUACCAUAAGAAAAAGCCCCGGCUAACUACGUACCAGCAGCCGCGGUAAUACGUAGGGGGCUAGCGUUGUCCGGAAUCACUGGGCGUAAAGGGUUCGCAGGCGGAAAUGCAAGUCAGGUGUAAAAGGCAGUAGCUUAACUACUGUAAGCAUUUGAAACUGCAUAUCUUGAGAAGAGUAGAGGUAAGUGGAAUUUUUAGUGUAGCGGUGAAAUGCGUAGAUAUUAAAAAGAAUACCGGUGGCGAAGGCGACUUACUGGGCUCAUUCUGACGCUGAGGAACGAAAGCGUGGGUAGCAAACAGG
rnacentral:rRNA from 3 species